UCUCAGAUGGUCCAGUGGUCAAGAUUUCCGCCUGUCAUAAUUGUGAACAAUUUCGUGCUCCAUGGUUACGUUUGCAAGCUCGCGGACGACCGGGGUUCGAUUCCCCGUCUGAGAG